rnacentral:rRNA from 1 species
CGGGGGACGUUAACGGCGUCGAGCGGCGGACGGGUGAGUAAUGCCUAGGAAAUUGCCCUGAUGUGGGGGAUAACCAUUGGAAACGAUGGCUAAUACCGCAUGAUGCCUACGGGCCAAAGAGGGGGACCUUCGGGCCUCUCGCGUCAGGAUAUGCCUAGGUGGGAUUAGCUAGUUGGUGAGGUAAGGGCUCACCAAGGCGACGAUCCCUAGCUGGUCUGAGAGGAUGAUCAGCCACACUGGAACUGAGACACGGUCCAGACUCCUACGGGAGGCAGCAGUGGGGAAUAUUGCACAAUGGGCGCAAGCCUGAUGCAGCCAUGCCGCGUGUGUGAAGAAGGCCUUCGGGUUGUAAAGCACUUUCAGUCGUGAGGAAGGUUUAUGCGUUAAUAGCGUAUAGAUUUGACGUUAGCGACAGAAGAAGCACCGGCUAACUCCGUGCCAGCAGCCGCGGUAAUACGGAGGGUGCGAGCGUUAAUCGGAAUUACUGGGCGUAAAGCGCAUGCAGGUGGUUUGUUAAGUCAGAUGUGAAAGCCCGGGGCUCAACCUCGGAAUAGCAUUUGAAACUGGCAGACUAGAGUACUGUAGAGGGGGGUAGAAUUUCAGGUGUAGCGGUGAAAUGCGUAGAGAUCUGA